CAGCAGCCGCGGUAAUACGGAGGGAGCUAGCGUUAUUCGGAAUUACUGGGCGUAAAGCGCACGUAGGCGGCUUUGUAAGUAAGAGGUGAAAGCCCGGGGCUCAACCCCGGAAUUGCCUUUUAGACUGCAUCGCUUGAAUCAUGGAGAGGUCAGUGGAAUUCCGAGUGUAGAGGUGAAAUUCGUAGAUAUUCGGAAGAACACCAGUGGCGAAGGCGGCUGACUGGACAUGUAUUGACGCUGAGGUGCGAAAGCGUGGGGAGCAAACAGGAUUAGAUACCCGCGUAGUCCCUGUCUCUUAUAC
rnacentral:rRNA from 1 species